rnacentral:lncRNA from 10 species
CACGGAUAGGAGUGGCGCACGCGUAGGAGCGGGGCGCGGGCAGGAGGAAGAACCCCAUGACUGCACACAGCGAGGAUUCCUCCAUUUCUUCCCAACGUUACUCAGAGAAAGGCAAACUUGCGUGGGACACACUUAUACUAAAAAAUUAUUUGCUGCUUAUCUGAAAUUCCAGUGUAACUGGGCAUCCUGUAAUUUUCCAGCAGCCAGACCUACAAAGCCUGAGAUGACCGGGGACACCCCCGCACCCCAUCGUACCUCACGCCCCCCACCUCCCCUGCAGCUUGGGUGUCCUGCUUUUCCCGGAGCCCAGAGAGAGUUCCUCCACUUCAGGAAUGCGUCCUGCCAUCCCCUCUGCUCCUGGUAUCCCUGUGGGCCACUCCCCUGGCCCCUGCAGAUCUCUGCCCAGAUGGCAUCUCUCGCCGAGGCCUGUCCUGACCAGCCGGUACAAAACAGCAGCCCUGUCACCGCCCCUUCACCGCUCGGUGGCUUCUAUGACCUUCCACCAGAAAGCCGUCUCCUUGAAGGCAGAGUUUCAUCUCUGCUGUCCACAGCUGUGUCCCCACACUGACGACAGUGCCUGGCAUGUAGUAGUUAGUCAAUAAAUAUUUUUCAAAUAAAUGAUGUCCCUACUGCCCCACCCCAGGCCACCGGCAAACUCCUUAAACCACAAGGACAGCUUUGUGGCCUCUCCUCUGCAAAGCUCUCCCUGACCACACGCGUGUCCUCCAGGCAGGAAGAGCCUCCUCACUAGCCGAAGAGUCCCUCCGAGGUAGCGAUGGUGUCCCAUCCACCUUUC